GUGUUUUCUGAAAGUAAAAAUUAGGUUAGUACUCCCCUUGACAUGAAUAGAAAAUGUUCUAGUCACCUAUGCUACACACAUACAUUUAAGGUAUCGUGGUCUCGUUAUAGCAUCCAAUGAUUUUU